CGGUGGACACGCCCACCUGGCAGUGUCUUGGGGCAUCUUCCCUGUCAAUUAAUAACAAUUGAUUUUCUUACAGUGAUUUUAUCAUAGUGUUGCUCAGUGGAGACUCCAGCUGGCUGUGGGGCCUCUGGGGAGAGAGGGGUCCAGACAGGGUUGUUGCCACAGACAGGCUGGGCUGAGGGCCCCAAGGGAGGCAAACUGCCUCCUGCCCAGGGUCACAGGGUCCAGGAAAGCAGCAUCCCCUUCCUUCCGAUCUCUGAGCCAGGCGGGGAAGAGCUCAGUACCCGUGGUGCCCAACACUGGGUGCUGCUGGAGGCGCUGACAUGGCCUCUGGGCAGCAGAGGUGGUGAGGCAGGUUUGGGGGUUCAGAGCAGCGCCUCGUGGCUGAUGAUGACCAAGGGACCCUCCUGCCCGCCUCAGCCAGCUCCCGGUCUCCUCCAGUCUGGAGAGGACGUGAGUCAGGCUUUCAGAACAGUGGCUUGCGGCACAGUGAGUCACAAUGAGAUCUUGGGUGGGGCAUACAAGUGGAUGAGGCUGAGUGGUGGCUGCAGCAUGAGCAGCUGCAUCUGAGGGUUGAGUGGCUGCUGAGGCACUGAGUCGGGCAGGAAGUGAGGUGAGGGCCCACUGAGGACUCCACAAAGACCUUCCUGGCUGCCCCAGACAGGGCUAAGGAGGAGCUGUGCUGCACGUAGCCUUGGGCCCUGCUUCACAGGAUGGGGCCGCCAGUGCCUGUGGCCCUGCCAGCCAUCUGGGUGCUAGGGGUGCUUCUCCCUGCUCCUCUGGCUGUGGGCGUUGUGCACAGCCUGCCACAGAAUCAUCUCCACAUGCACCUUCGUGCUGGGCUCGGAUUAGCAGCUGGCUGCCCUACUCCUCUACCUCUUCUUCCCCACCUGGCCUGAUGAUGCCCUUGCCCCUCAGGGAAGCAGGUGCAGAGGCCAGCAGGCAAGACUGCAGGACACUGUGAUGCUGGCAGAAACGGUGAGUGCCAGGCUUGUCCCCGGG
rnacentral:lncRNA from 1 species